AUUGAACGCUGGCGGCAUGCCUAACACAUGCAAGUCGAACGGAGGUAGGGGCAACUCUACUUCAGUGGCGGACGGGUGAGGAAUGCGUCGGAAUCUACCCUAUGGUGGGGGAUAACACAGGGAAACUUGUGCUAAUACCGCAUAAUGUCGAGAGACCAAAGCAGGGGACCGCAAGGCCUUGCGCGAUAGGAUGAGCCGACGCCCGAUUAGCUUGUUGGUAGGGUAAUGGCCUACCAAGGCGACGAUCGGUAGCUGGUCUGAGAGGAUGAUCAGCCACACUGGGACUGAGACACGGCCCAGACUCCUACGGGAGGCAGCAGUGGGGAAUAUUGGACAAUGGGCGCAAGCCUGAUCCAGCAAUGCCGCGUGUGUGAAGAAGGCCUGCGGGUUGUAAAGCUCUUUUGGUCGGAGAAGUGCCUGCUUAAUACGCGGGGUAUUGACGGUACCGGCAGAAUAAGCACCGGCUAACUACGUGCCAGCAGCCGCGG
rnacentral:rRNA from 1 species